rnacentral:lncRNA from 1 species
UCAGAGACUACUUGUCCUCAGCAUCCAACUCUCAGUUGAUUGGACAGCGCUGUUAUGUUGCUUACUGGGUGUUGCAGCCAGAGGACAGGCUGCUCUCGCUCUUGUGGCCUAAGUUCUGGACUUGGGAAGCAUGUCCCUUCCUGCUUUUUCCACCAGCUCUACAGAUAGUUGUAAGCCAGGAAUUUGGGCUCUCUAGAGUGUUUUACUUAUUAGAAGAUAAAGUGGCUUCUUCAUGGGCCGGUCAGGCCUGUGAUCUAGAAGGCAGCAUACAACGCUUUCUAGCACAAAUCACGUUUUGUGAAAGUGACUACUCAGGUUUGUUAUGUAUGUUAGUCUCAAUAAAGAAAUUGCACAGGUUUGAAUAAGGAAAAUAUAUCCUAUAGGAUUUAAAUUUGAAAUUAGGACUAUUUCAGUAUGUGUAGUUUUUAUCCAGUUUAAGUGAAUCAUAGACUCAGUCAUGUUGAUUUAAAGUAGCUGUCAAGGGCUAAUUCUUGGGAAUUAUUUGUUGUUGUCUGUGAUAGGAAACAAUUUUACAGUAUUAAAUUACGUUACUAUGGAUUUAGAAGUGAAUUACACUGGAUUCUCCCAAUUUAGCCUUCUGUAUUUUAUUUUAGUUGAGAUGUCACCAAAGUUAGGUUCUAUGUUUAAAUUUUUGAAAAUCCCACACAGAAUAAACCAAGGGAAAUGCCCUGGAGUUGCAA